rnacentral:rRNA from 1 species
AUUGAACGCUGGCGGCAGGCCUAACACAUGCAAGUCGAACGAGUGGCGGACGGGUGAGUAAUGUCUGGGAAACUGCCCGAUGGAGGGGGAUAACUACUGGAAACGGUAGCUAAUACCGCAUACCAUCGGAUGUGCCCAGAUGGGAGUAGCUGGUUGGUGGGGUAAAUGUUCACCAAGGCGACGAUCCCUAGCUGGUCUGAGAGGAUGACCGGCCACACGGGAACUGAGACACUGUCCAGACGCUUACGGUAGGCAGCAGUGGGGAAUAUUGCACAAUGGGGGCAAGCCUGAUGCAGCCAUGCCGCGUGUAUGAAGAAGGCCUUCGGGUUGUAAAGUACUUUCAGCGAGGAGGCGUUACUCGCAGAAGAAGCACCGGCUAACUCCGUGCCAGCAGCCGCGGUAAUUC